rnacentral:rRNA from 2 species
UACGUAGGGGGCAAGCGUUGUCCGGAAUCAUUGGGCGUAAAGCGCGUGUAGGCGGCUUGUUAAGUCCGCUCUGAAAGUCCAGGGCUCAACCCUGGAAUGCGGGUGGAUACUGGCAAGCUCGAGUCCGGAAGAGGCGAGUGGAAUUCCUGGUGUAGCGGUGAAAUGCGCAGAUAUCAGGAGGAACACCAAUGGCGAAGGCAGCUCGCUGGGACGGUACUGACGCUGAGACGCGAAAGCGUGGGGAGCAAACAGG